AGAUGGCGACCGGCGCACGGGUGAGUAACACGUAUCCAACCUGCCGAUAACUCGGGGAUAGCCUUUCGAAAGAAAGAUUAAUACCCGAUGGUAUAAUUAGACCGCAUGGUCUUGUUAUUAAAGAAUUUCGGUUAUCGAUGGGGAUGCGUUCCAUUAGGCAGUUGGUGAGGUAACGGCUCACCAAACCUUCGAUGGAUAGGGGUUCUGAGAGGAAGGUCCCCCACAUUGGAACUGAGACACGGUCCAA
rnacentral:rRNA from 1 species